UCCGUAGGUGGAUCAAUCAGUCAGAGGUGAAAUCCUGCAGCUUAACUGUAGAACUGCCUUUGAUACUGUUGAUCUUGAGUCAUUAUGAAGUGGUUAGAAUGUGUAAUGUAGCGGUGAAAUGCAUAGAUAUUACACAGAAUACCGAUUGCGAAGGCAGAUCACUAAUAAUGUACUGACACUGAGGGACGAAAGCGUGGGGAGCGAACAGGAUUAGAUACCCUGGUAGUCC
rnacentral:rRNA from 1 species